UCAUCCACUGUGGUAGAAAUGACCUUACACCAGCAGCUCUCCCAGAUGAAGAGUCCUCUCUGCCAUCACCCAGAGGAGCUGAUCGACGUCUGCACAACUGAAGAAGGUGGACAGAGUCUGGUGCUUUGUGACAGUGAACAGUGAGAAGGCUACCAUAGUCAUCCUCAGAUAAAACACAGAGAUCCUGGUCAAUAUUUAAUUUAUUUUUCUUUCCAUGAUGUUGCCCUGUGUUUGAAAGGCCAGAUGCUGGAGGGUUGUGUUGGAUUUGCUUUUCCAUCAUAUUUUAACAGUCAAACAAUCAUCCAGGAUCUCUAUACUUUAUUUGAUUUUUGUUGGGAUUUCUUUGUUAAAUUAUUUUUUAUACUUUCUCCUAUGUUCCAGCAAUUUGACCUGAUGGUCUCCCUUACUUAUUUUCCACAUGGUUAAUGAAGCCAGGGGUUGUUUAUUGAAGUUUAUUUUUUUCAUAAAAUGUUUAAAUAAACUUUUUUAAAAUCUGA